UUAUAGAGUAGAGAUCUCAGUGCACACAGUGGUUAAAUGAUUUCUUCUGGUAGCAGUGGUGGGAGUGUCACCUGAUAGUUGUAAUAACAAUACCAAAAGGAAAUCUUAAGUAGGGUCUUUGCUGUCAGGCCAGACCAACUUUACAAACCAGGCUUUAACAGGUGAAUGGAAUUGUGGAAAGUGGAAGACCUUGAGUCAACUCUGACUUCAGCUGUCUUGAUAGUUGUGAGGUCUCAUUGCAUCAGUAGAUAUGGGAAGACAGCAUAUAAUCUGCAUUUAGCCAUUCAGCAUUCAUUUCCGAUAAAUUAUUUACUGAUUUAUUUUGCUUAUUUUCUGUUUAGCAAAUAAACACAAAAAGUAUCGAGAAUGAAAGCUCCUUGAGGUCAGAGACUUAUUUAUUAGGCACUGAACAAAUACAUGUUAAAUGAAUUAUGAAUUUAUUGAGAACGUACUAUGUGUACCUGUGCAGUGUUCUGGGGCACGGUUUAUAAGCAGCGGGGGAGUUAGCCUACCGUACAUGGGGAAAAGUUAGCCUUGUUUGCCUGGGAAAUACCAAGAUAAUCUGGGCUGCACGUUUCUAAGGAAUUAAUGGCUCUGUUGACUUGGUCUUUGGGAAAUUUGCAUAUACACUUCUGGUAGAUGUCUCUUCCCCUCCCUGCUCCCCAAAAGAAAGGGUCUCCCUCUGUUGCCCAGGCUGGAGUGGAGUACAGUGGCAUGAUCAUGGCUCACUGCAGCCUCUAACUCCUGGGCUCAAGUGAUCCUCCCACCCUAGCCUUCUGAGUAGCUGGGACUACAGGCGCAGGCACCUAUGCCUGGGUAAUUUUUAUUUUUGUUUUUGUAGAGACAGAGUCUCACUGUGUUGCCCAGGCUGGUCUCCGAACUCCUGGCUUCAAGUCAUCCUCCUGCCUCUCUUUUCUCCUCUUAAAAAAUACUGUCUUAAAAAGGAAAACCUCCAAAUACCUUUACUGGUUUUUAAAAUUUCAAAUGCUAUGUAAUAUUUCUGAUAAAAUUUCAGAUGUAAUCGGAGUGGUCAUCAUGAGUGGCCAGAAGCUCCUGAAGUCCUAAGUGACCUAGAGAUGGGCCCUGUUGACCCCGCAGCAUCUGCUAAGCGUGUGGCUUUUGUGCAGCUCCCUGGAGAGCUGGAGUGCAGUAGCCACAGCCCCCACACCAGCAGCAGGAACUGAAGAGUGGCUUUCUCGAAACACAACCAUGUUGCCUUUCACUUAAUUUGUUUGAUCCAAAUAAUUAUUUUCUCGGGAGAAUUUAUAAACGAUAACUUGUCUCUUUCAAAAGUGUCAGAGGGGCCGGGCACGGUGGCUGACGCCUGUAAUUCCAGCACUUUGGGAGGCCGAGGCAGGCGGAUCACGAGGUCAGGAGAUCAAGACCAUCUUGGCUAACACGGUGAAACCCCGUCUCUACUAAAAAUGCAAAAAGUUAGCCGGGCGUGGCGGCGGGCGCCUGUAAUCCCAGCUACUAGGGAGGCUGAGACAGGAGAAUUGCUUGAACCCGGGACACGGAUGUUGCAGUGAGCCGAGAUCGCGCCACUGCACUCCAGCCUGGGCAACAGAGCGAGACUCCGUCUCCAAAAAAAAAAAAAAGUGUCAGAGGAUGUUCUAAGGAAAUUGUAUUCGGACCAGAAAAGAGAUGGGACAGUAUUUACUUCGUGAAUGUCAGGCAUAAGCAAUUCCUUUUUUCAUAGACUCGUUUUAUAAAGAUGAGUAGUGUGAGUUCAUUUAACACCUUGGUUUUACCAGUUUAUUUCUUCUUCACACAUUUUAAAAUGUUUGUUUAUGUUUAUUAAAUAGUGACGGUAAAUCAGUAAUGAUAUAGAGCUUUUUGCCUUAUUGUACAAAUCAUUUUAUCACCUUAUUUUAAUUUCAUUGAAAGCAGCAAACCAAAUCCCAACCAAAUAUCCACUAGUAAUGGGAAGCCUGGUGCUGUGAAUGGAGCUGUGGGGACCACGUUCCAGCCUCAGAAUCCUCUCUUAGGGAGAGCCUGUGAGAGCUGCUAUGCUACACAGUCUCACCAGUGGUAUUCUUGGGGCCCACCUAAUAUGCAGUGUAGAUUAUGUGCAAUUUGUUGGCUUUAUUGGAAAAAAUAUGGAGGCUUGAAAAUGCCCACCCAGUCAGAAGAAGAGAAGUUAUCUCCUAGCCCAACUACAGAGGACCCUCGUGUUAGAAGUCACGUGUCCCGCCAGGCCAUGCAGGGAAUGCCAGUCCGAAACACUGGGAGUCCAAAGUCUGCAGUGAAGACCCGCCAAGCUUUCUUCCUUCAUACUACAUAUUUCACAAAAUUUGCUCGUCAGGUCUGCAAAAAUACCCUCCGGCUGCGGCAGGCAGCAAGACGGCCGUUUGUUGCUAUUAAUUAUGCUGCCAUUAGGGCAGAAUGUAAGAUGCUUUUAAAUUCUUAACCUUAUAUGUUGUGCUUCUGACCAUUUUCUCUUUUCCUCUCUUUCCUUUUUUUUUUGUUUGUUUGUUUGCAAUAAACAUAAGUUCUUGUGUACA
rnacentral:lncRNA from 10 species